rnacentral:rRNA from 1 species
AUGUUUGUCAUUGGUAUCGGGUUGAACAUCUUGUUCCUCUACCGCCCAAUGACCGGCGUGCCAAAGUCAUCCUUCAAGGCCUAUCUGAAUGACUGGGAAGGCAGGCAAUGGGCUCUUCUUGCCGGUCUCCUUUGUGGUUUGGGCAAUGGCUUCCAGUUCAUGGGUGGUCAGGCUGCUGGUUAUGCUGCAGCUGAUGCUGUUGAGGCAUUGCCACUUGUGAGCACAUUCUGGGGCAUCGUGCUAUUCGGGGAGUACCGGAAGUCGUCAAAGAAAACGUACACUCUGCUCGUGUUCAUGCUGCUGAUGUUCAUUGCGGCUGUAGCAACGCUGAUGGCUUCAGCUGGUCACAGGAGCACAAAGUGA